UCUGCUGCAUCGAACUUGGUAUAUGUGGCAAUUUACUCGUUGGUGCUGUAGUAUACUUCGUUUCGUUUGUCGUUUUGUUUUACUUUAUUGUAAUGAAGACAUUCGAAAAAGUAUCAGAAAAUUUGUAUCUGCUGAGAAAGAAUAUUCCAAAUUUGAAAUCCCAACUGAAUGAAAUUAUAGCGCAACACGAUGAACUUUGGAAUUUUACUAAUCAACUCAACGGACCAUUCAAUUACGUAUUCGCGAUAAUAUGCAAACGUCUUUUCAAGACAUCGGAAGAUUUGCUGACUGCGAUCUCGGAUUGGAACAGAAAUUAAAGAUUUUGAAUUUUAUGAAAAGAUUCGGUAAAGAAUCCCUGUGUCUGUCAUGCAGAAAUUACUUUAAGAUUACAAAAAAGUUUCCGAUAAAGAUGGCAAGUUCUCUACAUUCCAUAUUUUCUGGUCUUUUAAAUAUAAAGAAUGCUUCGAAACGUAAAACUUAAUAAUUCGAAAGAAGAUUUUCGUUUUGAAAGACGACUCUAAAUGACAAUUAUUUGUUAAACUGCCACGUCGCAAUCAUUAAAGUUUAUUAAAGUUUACAUCUGAUUUCUUUUACACGUCCGAUGUCGAGUUUUAUUCUUCUCAUCACCAGUCAUUUAACAAAGAUUCACGCAUUGUAGUAAAUUAGAAAAUUCGCGCCGCGAUGAAUCGUUAAUUAAUUUUAAGAUCGGCACCCGAAAAGUUAGUGAGAACCUCAUAAAUCUACACGUUAAUAUAUGCACGUAGAUUAAUAGAUGUAUAAUACUCCACGAUAAAGACACGUAACGAUUGUAUGAUUUAAUAAUGUAAUGAUCUAUGAUGAACAAUGUGAAAUAGACUGUAUUUUAAAAUUAAAUUAUUUCACGGACUGUUGAGAAUUUUAAUUCGUU